rnacentral:lncRNA from 1 species
GUUGUUUUCCAGAAUUACCUCAAAGGAAAGCACAACAGUCAGACGUGAAAUGGAAACAGAAAAAUCUUCUGAAGCAGAAUAGUAACGCUGUGAAUUUAAAAGUAAUGGGUCCCAGCAGAAGAAAAAAGCAUCCCUCCUACCUCAUUUCUCCUUUCGGAGGCUAGCAGGAAAUUAAAAAAGGAAAGGAGUUUCAUGCAGUAUUUCUUACAGCAAAUUUCUCAGAAUCCAGAGAUACUUCUUUUCUCUGUAAUAAGUUGCUGCAGA